rnacentral:lncRNA from 1 species
GAACUUUGGCAAUGAUCUUAUAGAAGACAGUGAACUUUGUCCGGGUGAAUGGAGAAGCAAGCUCUCUUGAUUUCCUCGCCCAAAGGUACAGAGGUAAGUACCGUAUUCAUUUCAGCAGUGAUACUUGGUUGAAUCGCCUCAUUGACCAGGUUAGCUCUGUCACAUUCUUGAGAAGUAAACAGCGAAGUGAAGUAGUCAGUGAUAACCCGCAAAAUAUCUGCCUCCUCAUAUUGGGGAAUGCCUUCAUUAUUUUUUAUAACUGAAAACUUGUUUACAGUAGUUCUGCCUUUUGUUAUAGCAUGGAAAUAGCCCGAGUUUUUAUCUCCCAAUGAUAGCCAAAGUUGUCUACUUCUUUGUUUCCAGAAAUUUUCUUCAGCUUGGUAGGCCAACAGAAGGGUUUUGUUUAUGGAGGUUAUGAGGUUUUGAUCAUGGUUAGGGCUUGACAUUGCUUCCUCCAGCUUUUUCCUAUUUUCCUCAAUGAUCAAUUGGCUGUUAAUAUGAGUCUCUCUUGUCCAGGCCAUAAUGUCUCUACGACAUCUAAUGAUCUUUGCAUCCACAUCUUCCUGAGCAUCAGCACUCCAAG